rnacentral:rRNA from 1 species
UGGGGAAUAUUGCACAAUGGGCGCAAGCCUGAUGCAGCCAUGCCGCGUGUGUGAAGAAGGCCUUCGGGUUGUAAAGCACUUUCAGCGAGGAGGAAGGGUAGUGUGUUAAUAGCACAUUGCAUUGACGUUACUCGCAGAAGAAGCACCGGCUAACUCCGUGCCAGCAGCCGCGGUAAUACGGAGGGUGCAAGCGUUAAUCGGAAUUACUGGGCGUAAAGCGCACGCAGGCGGUUUGUUAAGUCAGAUGUGAAAUCCCCGCGCUUAACGUGGGAACUGCAUUUGAAACUGGCAAGCUAGAGUCUUGUAGAGGGGGGUAGAAUUCCCAGGUGUAGCGGUGAAAUGCGUAGAGAUCUGGAGGAAUACCGGUGGCGAAGGCGGCCCCCCUGGACAAAGACUGACGCUCAGGUGCGAAAGCGUGGG